AUCCACCUCCUCCAUACCUGUGUUAUCCCCUAAAACCAGGGAAGAGACGGAAGGAUUUCAAGAGCGAAAGGAUGCAGAGGAAAGAGCUAUACCUCCCACCAUGAACCAUGGGAAAUGCACAGGAGACUACUCUUCAUUCCAACCUGAAAAGCUCCAGUUCCUGACAUCAUCAGCAGGGUGUUCAUCAGAACCUGUAUUGUUCAUGUAGCUCCGCCCUAACGGAGAUCUAUAAAACCUCCUAAAGUGAAGGAGGCAACUUCAGCAUAUUGGUCCUGACAGACUAUUGCAAGAGCUUUGUUCAUUCAAAGUGUGCCAUUGUAAACAAAGAGAUCACACCAUGGAUUUGUACUUUCCAUUCUGGGACAUAUGCAUGUAAAAAGCCAAGUGACUGGAAUGGCAAUUCCAAAAUGUUGAUUUUAGUGGUUAAUACGUUUUUUUGAAUUUCUCUGUGUGCUUGGGGAUAUUGACAUAUGG